UGCGUCACAUCACGCAGAACACAGAACGCUAAAGCUAGGAUCAGAGCAGUAUUCCAGAGGCCAGCUAGUGAAGAUGACAGGCGAUAUCCCUGGAACGUCUCUAGGUGUUGCAGUCAGUCCCAAGAGUAGGCAUCUCCCCCGCAAAUGCACCUUUUAUUUCUCUCCGUUUGGAGGCUAUGGGGGCCACUUGGAAAUUGCCCUUAUCCUACCGCUUAGUUACCAUGGGUUUCUGUGUCCCGCAGCCCCCAAUCCGUCUGUUUUAUCGAGUGGUCUGAUGAGCUGCAGACAGACCAGGACUCAUUCACUCUGCAGCGGGUCCUGAUAAAACAAAAAAGUCUUCUGCCUCCCAGAAUGAAAGACUCCUCAAGGGGACUAGAGAAGCUGAAUUACUACCCUUCGCUCACUAAAAUGAUGGUGAAUUUGUUUUUAGUACAGGGAGAACAUAUGCUCACAACUGGGUGUGCACUGUAAACCUUCAGAAAGCACUUUCUUCCCAGCCUGGGUGACAGCUUGAAGUUCUCAGUACUUGAGCAGGGUAGGGAUUGUUUGACUUACAGAGAAGGGCGGUGGAUUCACAAACUGGAGAGACAGAUCAAAACUGUAACAGUCAAACCGUGUUUCGUAAGUUUACAUUGUACUCGUGUUAACUUACUGUGUACUGUGCAGCUUUGUUCAGAAACCUUUUUAUAGGCUUUCUUAGCAAAAAAAAAAAAAAAAGGAAAAAAGUCCGUAUCCGUGGAUAUUAUGCCUCAAUCUUCUGUACAUAUGUUUUAUUAAUAUGUAAAUAUUCAGAUUUUUUAAAAUUAUGAUGUUCUUUUAAAAGAAUUCAAUGCAAAGCUAGUUGUGAAAAUGGUGUGUAACACUGUGUUGUGAUUUCAACUCCCAACAUGCCCUUUAUGUCCAUUCUGGAAAAAUACAAUAAAUUACUUUAAUCG
rnacentral:lncRNA from 1 species